UUGACUUUGUGAUCCACCUGCCUCGGCCUCCCAAAGUGCUGGGAUUGCAGGUGUGAGCCACCGUGCCCAGCCAACCAACCAUGUUUUGAUUGUCUGUCCCAUUCGUGAGUCUAAGAUCCAAAGGACUCCAGGAGAGGUGUUGCUAGCAAUGAACAAGAGUUAAUGGAGAUAAUUUGUUUGCUAUCUGCCUCAUCAAGCAAGAUUGUACUAGCCUUUUGGAAAUUUUACAAUUUUCUCCCCUUCAUUCCUACCCCAACGUGCUCUAAAAGUUCUAAGGGAAUAUGUUGAACUUUCUAAAUUGUGAUGUGACAGAACUACUGAAACUUGUCAGGAAAACAAUUCUGUUUUAGAUAGAAGACAAAUUGGUAGCCACACCCAGUUUAUCAAGGAUGUUUCUAUCAUUCUUACUGUUUGCUAAAAGAGAAAGGUAAUUGUGGUUGAUCAUUCAAAACUUUUUAUUACGAAUAAAUUGUAGACUCGCAUGUUGCUGGAAUUUAGGGAUACAAUAAUACCCACACAAUUCUUACUCUUCAUGAAUAGUAGUGGAACAAAGAAAAUAAUUCUAACACGUGAAUAUGAGUCCUUUGUUUUUCUAAGUUCAAAAAGCUUCAGAGUGUCAGAGUAGAGACAACUUACCAAUACUGGCCAUCAAGGGUGAUCUCUUAGGAAAGCUCACAUCAUUCUACACAUGUAUUAGGCAUCAUGGACUAACAAUGAAUUAGCAAGAUUUGAGGGAAACAGAGAUGGGUCCCCGCUCUAAAUUUUCUUCACUCUUUAAAGAUCUAAGGAACUCUAGAAAUUAGCAUAACCAUGAGGCAGUAAAUGAUUAUUAGCUGUGAUGUGUGGUAGGGAUAAGUUUAUAGGCGGUCAGAGGAAAGAAAAGAUCUCCAGGGUUAUCAGCAUGGCCAAUUUAUAAAUGACUUAAUUUGGACACUCACUCUGCUACUUUGCCAUCUGCUUUAAAAGAAUUUCCUUUCAUUAUGUACAACACCUGAUCAUGGGGUUGUGCGUAUAUUAAUGGAUGUCUUUUCUUUUAGGGAAGCCUCAUGUGCUCCAUCUCAAGUUGAACUCCAGAGUCAUUCGAUGUUCAUGCUGUUUGCCACUUGGCAAUUCUAAUCUAUCAACAGAUGUCUGGAUAGAGCACUUUUGUGCAUAGAGCCUUUGAAAGAAGUCAGAGCUAAGGAAACUCACCAGCUCCUUUAGAGACAAAAACUCACAAGGCACACACCUUGUGGUCCGAUCUUUAUGGCUGUGUGGGAGAACUACAGUGUGAUUUCAGACUUUUUCUUGGCAUGUGGAGUCUGUUCAUCCUGAAACUUCAAAAUGUACAUAUUUCCCCCAAAUGAGAUGUAAGUCUGUUGAGUUAAUUAUCAUACAAUUAUAGCAAUGGAAAAGAAAAACCCUAAUCAAACGUGAACAGCUUGUCUAACUAUUAACCAGACCAUGGUGAACCAUUACUUAGCUCUGACUUGCAUGAUCCAUCAUAGACUUUUGGCCCUCUGUGAACAAAUGCUUAAAUGAGUUCAUAGUCAUUUAAAACUGAAAGGCCUGACUGCCUGGGUUCUUGUGAUUAUCUUUAAAUUGUUCAGUCAUUACAUUUUACUGGCAUGAAGUUAUGGCGAUCUUCCUCUCUUCUCCAUGUGAUAGGAAAGAGCCGGCAGGUCAUGGUCAUGAAAGACAUGGCCUUGCAGGACUUUGACCUACUAAAGUGGUGAUUUGUUUUAUAACAUUUCUACUUAUAUCCCCUUAAGCUGCUAAAAAUACAUUCAGAAGUCAAAUCCCUCUGAAUAAGUUUUCUUUCUAGGAAGAGCCAGAGCCCAAAGCAUUGUAUUCAGGGUGUCUUUUAGAAUUAGUCCAAUUUGCACUAUUUUCAGGAUAAUUCAGCUAUUGCCAGUAUUAUAGCAGUCAAAUACAAAAUGACCCAGGUGCAGCAUGGUGAACUUUUGGUUUACAGUUUUAAAUUCAAGAGGCCACUUUCGAUUGAUACAAGGACAUGAAAUUCGGGUUUAUUCUGGUUGAAUAGGUUGAAGUUUAGGACUGGGAAGGGAAAAGAGGAAGGAUAAAGCCAAUCAGAUGGUAUGACAUCACAUUCAAGACUAAGUAAUGAGACUGUGAGCUCAUUUUAUCCUCAGGUACACUAGAAAGUAGGCAUACUACACAGUAACAGCCAACUUUUUGUUCAUUCUAACUCUUACCACACCAAGCUUUCCUUGGUGUCAGCCACAGGGGUCACUAAGCCAUCAGCUGAUCAGGAAAGGCCCUGGUCUGUAUUGUUCCCCUCCCAGUGUCCAUGUGAAACUGGAAUUUUCUACGGUACUAUGUGGUGUCACGGACUCAGUCAAAGGGUCAUUUGACUUGACAUGACCAUUACCAAGGGCUCCAACUUGAAUCUCCAAGCAAGAUGAGACUGCUUGGACCAUGCCCACCACAGUGGACUUUACAGAGUUGUUUCAGGGUCAUGGUGCCCAAUUGAUCAAACACUCAUCAAGAUGACUGUGAAGGUAUUUUGCCGAUGAGAUAAACAUCUAGAGUUGACUUUAAAAGAGAACAGCAGUAAUGUGAGUGGACCUCAUCCAACCCAUUGAAGGCCAGAAGAACAGAAGCAAGUUUCCCAGAGACAAAGAAUUCUGCUUCAAAAAGGAUCUUGCUGUUUUGCCCAGGCUGCAAUGCAGUAGAGCAGUCCUAGCUCACUGCAGCCUCAAACUCCAGGGCUCCAGUGAUCCUCCCACCUCAGUCCCCAGAGUAGCUAAGGCCACAGGCAUGUGUCACCACACGUGGCUAAUUUUUCAAAACAGGGUCACUACAUUACCUAGGCAUGUUUUGGACUUCUGAACUCAAGUGAUCUUCCUGCCUUGGCCUCCCAAAACACUGGGAUUACAGGCGUGAGCCCCCACACCCAGCCUAAUCUUUUUUUUUUUUUUUUGUCUCUCUUAUUUCAUGCUCUUCUUCAAAUAAAAAUGAUAAUACAUAUUUACUUAAAAUGUUUUGGUUAACAACAAUAUUAAUUAUGAGAUGCAUUUGGACAUAAGGGAAACAGGAGUUAUGUUGGAGCUGAGGGGCUAAUGUGUAUGUCAGUUUUAUGGCUAUUGAUGUAUAGUUGACGGCAGUUAAUAAUGGCUAACAACCAUUUAUUGAAAAAUUACUAUGUUCCAUUAUGAUACUAAGCCACAUGUACUAACUUGUUUAAUCUUCAUAAUGGCUCCAAUAGUAGGUUUCAUGGUUUUCCCCAUUUUAUAGUCAUGGAAAGAUUGAGAAACUUCCCCUAGUGACACAGCUAGUAAAUGACAGAGCCAAAACUUGAGCCCAGCUACUCUUAUUCCCAAGCUGUGCCAUUCACAGUUCCACCAUACAGACUCCUCCUGGACCAUCCUGCCGCUAGAUGAUCUACUGGAAGUAGCAAAGACUUCAACAGAAAGUAUGGUGACCAGCAGCAUCCAACCUGUGUGUUUCCUCCUUCAGGAAGAGAGAAUACCCCUCUCAGCGUUUCUCCCAGAGAGCAAAGGAGAUUCUCUCCUCAAUGCCCAGCUCAGAUACUCUCCAGCCUCCUUUGUACCACUUGAAUCUCAUGCUUAUUCCCAAUCCAAUUACUAUGGCUUUGCUGUGGACUUCGCUGAUUGACUUAAGCUAAUUAAGAAUCACCCUUGGAGCUGAGGAUGAAAUCAUCUCACCCAAUCUGGAAACUGUAAGUGGGUGGAAGGGUUGUUGUCUAGAAAUCCUGUUGAUCACUAGGAAAGGAAAUAUAUACGGAGUGACAACCACAGAUCACAUGAGGACUUUGUCAAAUCACAGCUGGAGUCCUGCAAAUCUCCUAAUUGAGCUCCUUGCCACUGGUUUUGCCCCUUCUGUUGCAUGUUUGAUACUGCUCCUGAUGACAACAAAACGAAACUUAAGCAGCUCACAUGGCAUACAAACUCCAUUUGAACUGCUUCCUAGCUACCUUCUGGUUCCCUUUUUAUCCCGUUCCCACAAUGAACUAUGUGAAGCUCCCUAAACACUUCCAACCUUCUCUACCUGGAUAAUUGUUUAUGAUUUUUCAAGAGUCAGCAUGAACUUUUCCCUCUGGAGGCCUCUCAUGACCUCACCUCCUUGGGUUAGUUUCCCCUACUCUGUGCUUUCAUAGCAAUCUGAGUUUAUGCUGUAUCACAGAAACAUCGAUUUGAUAAUUUUUCUUUCCCUUCAAGUAUGCAAGCUCCCUAAAGGAAAGGCCCACAGUCUUGUAUCGUUAGUACCUGGGACUCCACAGGCAUGGUGUAAGCAUACAGUCACUAAAGGUGUGUUUAUAGAAUGAUUCUACUUGCCAUUAAACUCUGCUAAGUUGUGUGGGCACGAUGAGAACAGAAAACAAAUGUAAACCUUGGUUGAUACUGUCAUAGAGCCUGUUCAUUAAAAGAAUAAAUGAAGAAAUGUAAGAGAGAAUGUGAACCAUCUUCCAGCAUCUCAAGAAGUAAAUUACGUAGAGCAUGAAACCAAUCUUUGUUCAUGGGACUUAUAAAAUAAGAAGCUUUCCAGUGUUUACCACUUAAAAAAAAGGUAAUUAUAGUUUCACUAUAUUCUGCCCAGUUUUUCUUCCUUUAUCCUCCAAGAAACAUGGAGGGUAACAUAUAGCGGGUUGGUAGGGGGUAGGAAAUAUGGGAUGGGGGUGGUUGGUCUUCAUCCGGAGAUGUCUGUGGAAAUACGUGGAUACCUGCAUACGUGGCAACUAUGGUAAUUCUUUGUGAACAUCCAGUUGCCAUCCCUUUAAGCAGGUUGAGUGUUUAACAGUGGACAACUCUUCCCUAGAGUACUAGUCAAUUUUCUUGUGUGAGAAUCAGAAAGCCUAUUUAAUACCAGGUACUCAUUCCAAGGCUGAAAAGAAAAGAGAAGAAUAUUAUAUUAAGUGGAAAUGUAGUAAAUUUAAAUUUACUACUGAUCUAAAUCUUGCCUUGCUAUUCUGCCAGUGUUUUAUUCCAAUUCACUGCCAAAUAAAGUUGCAACUAAUUUUUAAACUAAUAUUUAAUGUUGGAGAGAUUUAGGGAUAUAAUUUUUACUAGUAUCAAUGACACAUUAACCAAAUUAGUUAAAACUAGCUUAUACUGAAAAAAAAUAAAUGAACAAAGGAUUUUUUAAUGCAGUGGUCUCAAUUUAUUGUUUUUUUUUUCCUUUGUUGCUCAGUUGCCAGUUCUCAGAAUUCAAUCUGUACUAGGUACCCCAGUCAUUAGUAUGAAUUAGCAACACUCCACUGUAAUUCACUGUAAUUCACCAGAGAUGGAGUUUUGAUAAAUGGUAAAAGGGUUUUAAGAGAGAUCAGUGUUGUGAAACCCAGUUACAGGGAGACCAGGUCUCUUUGGUAACUAGGUUUUUCUUUGGUUUCCAUCUUGCAUUCCCUAUCAUCUUAUAAAAGAAAAAAGAUAAUAUAAAUGAAAUCCUUAAUAAAAAUCUGAAUCUGAACCUAAGUUUUAAUAAACUUAACAUUAAUAAAGAGUUUGGGUGAUUAGAAUAAGGACUUCUAAUCAAUCCAGACAGAUAAGAUCACAGUCAUAAUUGCAUUGGCUGCUAUAAUUUCCUUUUCAUUUACUUGUACCAAAUGGAAAAUAAAGUCUUGAGAUGUCUACAAAUGGAAAUGAAAAUAAUGGUUUUCAGUGAUAAUUUGAUAGGAAGUAAUUGGCCACCUGAAGGGAAAAACCCUCAUCGUGGAAAUAAUUACAAAUAAUUGGUUACUGUAAGAUUGGACUAUAUUUGAUGCACUCAGUACAAUAAAUACUCUUAACUAAAGAUGUCACCAUGGAGGUCUGAGAGUAUUACUAACCAUGUAUAUCAGAGACAAUACAAGAGUUUACAGACUGGCUAGUCAUGGUCCAACUUUGAUCCAUACAUAUUACUUACUUGGCCAACAAAAUUACUUUGACUUAUAUUUUAAUUAGCUGUCAAUACUUUGAAAGUGGAAGAUGAAUGAAGUCAGGAUUUAUAGUUUUUCUUUUGAAAAAAUUAAAAUGUCAGGCAACACUGGCAUCUUAUUGCCAUAAUUGCCACAAUCCUGUCAAACUGGGACAAGCACUAGAAUUACCCACAGCCCUGGUUGAUCCACUUCAUGCAUUGAGAAGUUAGUAGGGCCCUUAUAGGUGUUUGAGUUGGUGACUCUAGCUCUGAUAACAUUUUCUGUACUCAUAUGUAACUUUUGAGAUCAUUUGGUAAGUUCACAUUUUGUAACUUGGUUCAUCUCACAAUAACUUUUUACAAUAAAUAUCAUUUACAGAAAAAUAAAGUA